GGAGUAAUGCUGUUGGUUGCUUUGAAUUCCAUUUUUACGGUUUUUUCAUCAUAAGCAUUUCAGUGCGCUUCUUAGAAAAGAGCACGCAGUUUCUUUAUGAAAUCGUAUGGUCCUGGCACGGAGAUUCUUGUGCCAAUGCUGACCUUUGUCCAUGACGGAAGAGGCACUUUCAUCAACAUUCUUCUCCAUCCUUUUCUUCGCGACGCAUGCUCAUCAAGUUUCACUGGUUCUAAACACAAUUUGUUUUACUACACUGGCGACUUGGCAAGUUUCUGGAUCACUUCAGUGAUCGCUUCCGUGCCGCUGUUACACACCUGCAGUCACUCACCACGGGAUUAUGCCAAGGUAAUGCAGAGAUGUUGCCUAGAUGAACAC